AGAGUUUGAUCAUGGCUCAGAACGAACGCUGGCGGCGUGGAUAAGACAUGCAAGUCGAACGGGACUAUUUUUGUAGCAAUACGGAAAUAGUUUAGUGGCGAACGGGUGCGUAACACGUGGGCAAUCUGCCAAAAAGUGGGGGAUAGCUCGCCGAAAGGCGAAUUAAUACCGCAUGUGGUGAGAAUAGACAUCUAUUUGAAUCUAAAGUCGGGGCAACCUGACGCUUUUUGAGGAGCCCGCGGCCUAUCAGCUAGUUGGUGAGGUAACGGCUCACCAAGGCGAUGACGGGUAGCUGGUCUGAGAGGACGACCAGUCACACUGGAACUGAGACACGGUCCAGACACCUACGGGUGGCAGCAGUCGAGAAUUUUUCUCAAUGGGGGAAACCCUGAAGGAGCGACGCCGCGUGGAGGAUGAAGGCUUUCGGGUUGUAAACUCCUGUCAUUUGGGAACAAUGCCCCGGAUUUAACUGGUUCGGGGUUGAUAGUACCAGAAGAGGAAGAGACGGCUAACUCUGUGCCAGCAGCCGCGGUAAUACAGAGGUCUCGAGCGUUGUUCGGAUUCAUUGGGCGUAAAGGGUGCGUAGGUGGCACUGUAAGUCGGGUGUGAAAUCCCGGGGCUUAACCCCGGAACUGCAUUCGAUACUGCAGUGCUUGAGGACUGGAGAGGAGACUGGAAUUCAUGGUGUAGCAGUGAAAUGCGUAGAGAUCAUGAGGAAGACCAGUGGCGAAGGCGGGUCUCUGGACAGUUCCUGACACUGAGGCACGAAGGCCAGGGGAGCAAACGGGAUUAGAUACCCCCGUAGUCC
rnacentral:rRNA from 1 species